AUGUUUUACAAUUGGAAAAAGGUCAAUGCCCACCACCAGACUCCCCACCAUCCCGCUACCUCCAUCGCAAUUCACAAUAACCACCACCACAAAUUUUCAGCAUUGACCACUAAAAUCACACCAUUGUCAUUGCCAAUUAUCGGAAAAAAAAUACCCGCCACCAAAUUCAUCACCCAUCACCACAUCCACCGCCAAAUAUUACAACCAUUACAAACUUCGUUCGAGCUCAAGGUGGAGAACGGUGAGGAUAAGAAGUCAAUAAGUGAAAGAAGCUAAAUUUAAAGAAAUAAGAUGGCUGUGAUUGAAAAAAAAAAAGAAGGAGAAAAGAAGUGGGAUAAGAUGAACAAAAGAAGACGAGAGGAGGGUUGUCGAUGGAGAAGAGAAGGGGUGAAUAAUUUUACAUUGAAUGAAUCAAACUGCGGAUUGGAUGUACCUUUUUGAAUUCAAUGAGAAGAAACUACUGGAUUCUGCUCUCUCCUCUACCCCUUUCAAGAUGUCUUGGAGUAGGUGCUGCUUGGAAAACAGCAAAUGUGGAACCAGGUUCAACAGUAGCUAUCUUUGGUUUGGGUGCAAUUGGGUUGCAGAGGGAGCAAGGCUAUGUGGUGCUACCAGAAUUAUCGGCGUAGAUAUAAACUCGGACAAGUUUGAAAUAGGGAAGCAAUUUGGAGUUACUGAGUUUGUCAAUUCCAAAAGCUGUGGGGAUAAACCUGUUAGUCAGGUAGAUGUUGGCUUCAGGUCAAUUUUGGGCAAAGAGAAAUCAACAAUUCUGCAUAUAAAGAAGGUAAGUGAGAAAGGAAGAAACAGUAGUAGUGGAAGCUAAAAGGAGAUGAAAUUAGAUGACUAAAAAGGCGCUCAAUAAGUGGGAUAAAAAAAAGAACAAUAACUUUGUUUAUCAUUUGGGAUCAGCGAAAGCUUGCAGCACAACUUGCUGCCUUUUCUAAAGGAAGCUACAUUGCCUAAAUUUGACCUGUGACCUCUUCUACUUGGACCAGAGGGUGGUAUUCUGCGUUUGACCAGAAAAUGACGACAAUUACUAUUACUCAUGCUGCUCCCACUUCUUGCACAGUUGCAGCCAUUAAUAUGACCAUCUUCACAACAAGGGAGGAGGAUACGCAAAGUUUACGAACUAAGCUGGCCAUGCAAUAUAUUUACUGAUGGAGUGUGUGUUCGUUUGGUUGUUUUGUCUUUGGGUAUGUGAAGGGAAAGCAUUUAUAUGUAGUCGUGUUUAAUUUGUAUAUAUAAUAAUGAUAAAGUUUUGAAAGGAUUAAAAAGCAGAUUAUAUUUUAUUUACAAUAUUUUGCUUUAGUUUCAAGAGUAAAGCGGUCAGCAUGGGCUUGGGAGUUACUUAUUGAAUGGUCAUUCUAAGUUUGAAGUUGAAGAUGGAGUUGUGUUUGGUUAUAGUUUUUGCAAAUGUAUAUAUCUUCUUUUCUGGGUUGAACAUAGUUUAUUAAUUGUAGUUCUAUCAGUGUUCCCGUCAAACUUUAGUUUAACAUGCUUAGUUGCAUCUUCUGCCUCCAUUUUUGAGAAAAUUAAAAUAGAUAGGGGCAUGUUUUGAAAGAUACUUGUGAGCUGAUUUUGCCUUUUGGUCUUUGCAUAAGUAUUGAUCUUUCUUCAACUAAAGCAAAAGCAGCAAGCAGAAAGACAUAUUUUGGCAUGCUUCUCCCAUUUAAAAUUGAAUUGCUAUCAGUUGAUUAAUUUUACUAAGUUUCCUUUUGUUUUGCGCUUGCUGCCAUCCUAUUCUUAUAGGAUUAUAUUUUUAACUUAUUGUAGUUUCAUAAUUAUCUCUUUCUAAAUUAUCGAAUUGUGAAGUACAUUUAAAUCAGAAUAAGCGCGGGCAUCACUAU